UCUUUUAUAUUUUGGUAUCCCUAU
rnacentral:piRNA from 1 species